AGUGAACGCUGGCGGUAGGCCUAACACAUGCAAGUCGAACGGCAGCACAGUAAGAGCUUGCUCUUACGGGUGGCGAGUGGCGGACGGGUGAGGAAUACAUCGGAAACUACUUUUUCGUGGGGGAUAACGUAGGGAAACUUACGCUAAUACCGCAUACGACCUACGGGUGAAAGCAGGGGAUCUUCAGACCUUGCGCGAUUGAAUGAGCCGAUGUCGGAUUAGCUAGUUGGCGGGGUAAAGGCCCACCAAGGCGACGAUCCGUAGCUGGUCUGAGAGGAUGAUCAGCCACACUGGAACUGAGACACGGUCCAGACUCCUACGGGAGGCAGCAGUGGGGAAUAUUGGACAAUGGGCGCAAGCCUGAUCCAGCCAUACCGCGUGGGUGAAGAAGGCCUUCGGGUUGUAAAGCCCUUUUGUUGGGAAAGAAAAGCAGCAGGUUAAUACCCCGCUGUUCUGACGGUACCCAAAGAAUAAGCACCGGUUAACUUCGUG
rnacentral:rRNA from 1 species